rnacentral:rRNA from 1 species
AUACGGAGGGUGCGAGCGUUAAUCGGAAUUACUGGGCGUAAAGCGUGCGUAGGCGGUUUGCUAAGUCAGAUGUGAAAGCCCCGGGCUUAACCUGGGAACUGCAUUUGAUACUGGCAGACUAGAGUAUGAUAGAGGGGGGUAGAAUUCCUGGUGUAGCGGUGAAAUGCGUAGAUAUCAGGAGGAAUACCAGUGGCGAAGGCGGCCCCCUGGAUCAAUACUGACGCUGAGGUACGAAAGCCUGGGGAGCGAACAGGAUUAGAAACCCUAGUAGUCC